CAUCACCUGAUAAGGACAUGUGUAAUGCAAUGCAACCUAAACAUAUCUAAAUGCUAUCCUAAAUGGUCAACAUAUGCAAGAAUGAAUGGUUAAAACAAUGCAAAUUGAGAAGAUAUCAAGAAGUAAAAACCAAAUUUUGUCCCCUUAGAACAAAAAAAAAUGAAAAACCUGUUUUGUCCUUUUUAGUAAAAUACAAUUAAUAGUAAGAAGUAAAAACAAAACAUAAGCAGUAAAAAAAAAAAACUUUCUUCGUCUCCGACUCCCG
rnacentral:lncRNA from 1 species